UGGGGAAUCUUGCGCAAUGGGCGAAAGCCUGACGCAGCGACGCCGCGUGCGGGAAGAAGGCCUUCGGGUUGUAAACCGCUUUCAGGAGGGACGAAGCCACUCGGGUUAACAGCCCAGAGGGUGACGGUACCUCCAGAAGAAGCCCCGGCUAACUACGUGCCAGCAGCCGCGGUAAUACGUAGGGGGCAAGCGUUGUCCGGAUUUAUUGGGCGUAAAGCGCGUGUAGGCGGCCACGCAGGUCCGUUGUGAAAACUCGGAGCUUAACUCCGAGACGUCGAUGGAAACCGCGCGGCUAGAGUCCGGAAGAGGAGAGUGGAAUUCCUGGUGUAGCGGUGAAAUGCGCAGAUAUCAGGAAGAACACCCGUGGCGAAGGCGGCUCUCUGGGACGGUACUGACGCUGAGACGCGAAAGCGUGGGGAGCGAACAG
rnacentral:rRNA from 1 species